rnacentral:rRNA from 1 species
GAUGAACGCUGGCGGCGUGCUUAACACAUGCAAGUCGAACGAAGCACUCUAUUUGAUUUUCUUCGGAAAUGAAGAUUUUGUGACUGAGUGGCGGACGGGUGAGUAACGCGUGGGUAACCUGCCUCAUACAGGGGGAUAACAGUUGGAAACGACUGCUAAUACCGCAUAAGCGCACAGGAUUGCAUGAUCCGGUGUGAAAAACUCCGGUGGUAUGAGAUGGACCCGCGUCUGAUUAGCCAGUUGGCAGGGUAACGGCCUACCAAAGCGACGAUCAGUAGCCGGCCUGAGAGGGUGACCGGCCACAUUGGGACUGAGACACGGCCCAAACUCCUACGGGAGGCAGCAGUGGGGAAUAUUGCACAAUGGGGGAAACCCUGAUGCAGCGACGCCGCGUGAGCGAAGAAGUAUUUCGGUAUGUAAAGCUCUAUCAGCAGGGAAGAAGAAUGACGGUACCUGACUAAGAAGCACCGGCUAAAUACGUGCCAGCAGCCGCGGUAAUACGUAUGGUGCAAGCGUUAUCCGGAUUUACUGGGUGUAAAGGGAGCGCAGGCGGUGCGGCAAGUCUGAUGUGAAAGCCCGGGGCUCAACCCCGGUACUGCAUUGGGAACUGUCGUACUAGAGUAUCGGAGGGGUAAGUGGAAUUCCUAGUGUAGCGGUGAAAUGCGUAGAUAUUAGGAGGAACACCAGUGGCGAAGGCGGCUUACUG